UGGAUGCCGGGGAGAUCCACGCCUACGACGAGUCUUACAGCCUGCUUCAAGAUCCAAACGGGACCUUUUAUAAGAUGGUCCAGCAGACGGGCAAACAGGAGGCUGCAGCUCUGCAGUCGGCAGCUGAGCAGGUUUACUCCAACCGAAGCCGUGCUAACGUUCCAAACGGACACGCAGAAACGGCAGACGGUAACAUCGUAAUCUUUGAGACGGCUCUGUAAGCCGAAGAAGAGUCUCUGCUCUGCCAGAAGCCUCAGAGAGCUGCUGGGCUCGUCCACCGGUCCACCAGACAGACGGUGAGGAGACGCAUCUCAGGACCUACAGGGAGGCUGCAGCCUCAGUGAACAUCUGAGCCAAACAGUCUAACGCUGUUUGUUGGAGCUCACAGACCUGAGAAAUCACUGCUGUACAAACUGUUGAAGCAGACCAAUAUUUAUUAUCUGCUGCUUCAUAUUUAUCAUGUUGAAUAGCUUUCAAAUGGCCAUGUAAUCCUUAAAAACCAAGUGCCUUAUUUCAAGUUUGUGUAAAUUUAACCGUUCAAAGAAUAUCUGUAUCUGUGAGUCCAGGUAGCAGAGAAGCACGGAAUCAGCGACUAAAUCUACCUGAGGUUGCUGCUUAAUCAGUCGCAGCAUUUGGGUUCCUUUUCCACGAAUGUUUGUCGUUCAGACCACUGUGAUGUUAGUCAGGUAUGUAUUCUACAUAGGACAGAAAAGCAGCUGAUCACCUGAGGACGGCUGCGAUGUAGCUAAAGUCUUACCUCCAGCUUAUAGGAAGAUCACUGCUCUGACUAAAGGAAAGUGAGUUCAUUCAGACACGAGACUGACGAACCUGAAGACACAUUUCACUGCAGCAGCACUUUCUGUGUUAUAUUUCAGCAACAGUCUGUUCUCAACACUGAUGUCUUUGCCUUAAACAAAUCCAGACACACAUGUACCAGACUUUAGAAACAGUCUGAAAAGGAGUUUCUCGUACAGAUGCUGUGGUCCUUGUACUCCCACUCCACUGAUUUAAGAGCUUACAGGGAGGAGGGAAUCUUAACAGCUGCUACAGAUGAUGUGGAGUUUGUUGAAUGACUUUGAUCUGUUCACAC
ensembl:lncRNA